UAAGCAGACCGCCUUAUCACUCUAAUUUUUAUUGGAGAGGAAAGUCCGGACACCAUAGAGAAGCAUAGCGGUUAACAGCCGCCAGUACCGAGCUCGUUUCGGGAUUAGGACAAGUGCAGCAGAAAGAAUGUACAGGUAAUGCUGUAGUGAAACCAGGUAAACUCUAUGCGGUGCAAUGUCAUGUAAACCAACGUUUGAGGGUCCUCGCCCAAUGUUGGAGGGUAGGCAGCUAGAGGUUUUUGGCAACAGAAACCCCAGAUAAAUGAUAAGGACCUUCUUUUAGGUACAGAAUCCGGCUUAUAGGUCUGCUUUUUUU
rnacentral:RNase_P_RNA from 1 species